GACAGAGGGGGCAAGCGUUGUUCGGAAUUACUGGGCGUAAAGGGCGCGUAGGCGGCCUGCUAAGUCGAACGUGAAAUCCCCGGGCUCAACCCGGGAACUGCGUCCGAUACUGACAGGCUUGAAUCCGGGAGAGGGAUGUGGAAUUCCAGGUGUAGCGGUGAAAUGCGUAGAUAUCUGGAGGAACACCGGUGGCGAAGGCGGCAUCCUGGACCGGUAUUGACGCUGAUGCGCGAAAGCCAGGGGAGCAAACGGG
rnacentral:rRNA from 1 species